GACGAACGCUGGCGGCGUGCUUAACACAUGCAAGUCGAACGAAGAGACUUGGAAGCUUGCUUCUAAGAAUCUUAGUGGCGAACGGGUGAGUAACGCGUAAUCAACCUGCCCUUCAGAGGGGGACAACAGUUGGAAACGACUGCUAAUACCGCAUACGAUCCAAUCUCGGCAUCGAGGAUGGAUGAAAGGUGGCCUCUAUUUAUAAGCUAUCACUGAAGGAGGGGAUUGCGUCUGAUUAGCUAGUUGGAGGGGUAACGGCCCACCAAGGCGAUGAUCAGUAGCCGGUCUGAGAGGAUGAACGGCCACAUUGGGACUGAGACACGGCCCAGACCCCUACGGGAGGCAGCAGUGGGGAAUCUUCCGCAAUGGACGAAAGUCUGACGGAGCAACGCCGCGUGAGUGAUGACGGCCUUCGGGUUGUAAAGCUCUGUUAAUCGGGACGAAAGGCCUUCUUGCGAAUAGUUAGAAGGAUUGACGGUACCG
rnacentral:rRNA from 1 species